UGAGAGAACCUUAGCGCGGUGGUCCCACCUGACCCCAUGCCGAACUCAGAAGUGAAACGCCGUAGCGCCGAUGGUAGUGUGGGGUCUCCCCAUGCGAGAGUAGGGAACUGCCAGGC
rnacentral:rRNA from 1 species